rnacentral:rRNA from 1 species
UAGAGUUUGAUCAUGGCUCAGAACGAACGCUGGCGGCGUGGAUCAGGCAUGCAAGUCGAACGCGAACGUUUUCUUCGGAGAACUAUUAGAGUGGCGAAAGGGUGAGUAAUGGUUGGAUAAUCUACCCUCAAGUUGGGGAUAACUUCGAGAAAUCGAAGCUAAUACCGAAUACGAUCACUUGAGCGCAUGUUCAGGUGAUUAAAGAUGGGGACCUUCGGGCCUGUCGCUUGAGGAGGAGUCCAAUUCCUAUUAGCUUGUUGGUGGGGUAACGGCCCACCAAGGCAUUGAUGGGUACCCGGGCUGAGAGGCUGGUCGGGCACACCGGAACUGAGAUACUGUCCGGACUCCUACGGGAGGCUGCAGUCGAGAAUCUUCCGCAAUGCGCGAAAGCGUGACGGAGCGACGCCGCGUGGACGAGGAAGGCCUUCGGGUUGUAAAGUCCUUUUAGGGGGUAUGAAUCGUAUUAUGGCCAAUACCCAUAGACU